GGGAAUUUUCGUCAAUGGGCGCAAGCCUGAACGAGCGAUGCCGCGUGAGUGAAGAAGGCCUUCGGGUCGUAAAGCUCUGUUGCGGGGGAAAAAAGGCAGCAUCAGGAAAUGGGUGCUGACUGAUGGUGCCCCGCCAGAAAGUCACGGCUAACUACGUGCCAGCAGCCGCGGUAAUCCGUAGGUGGCGAGCGUUAUCCGGAAUGAUUGGGCGUAAAGGGUGCGCAGGCGGUCCUGCAAGUCUGGAGUGAAACGCAUGAGCUCAACUCAUGCAUGGCUUUGGAAACUGGAGGACUGGAGAGCAGGAGAGGGCGGUGGAACUCCAUGUGUAGCGGUAAAAUGCGUAGAUAUAUGGAAGAACACCAGUGGCGAAAGCGGCUCUCUGGUCUGUAACUGACGCUGAGGUUCGAAAGCGUGGGUAGCAAACAGG
rnacentral:rRNA from 1 species